CCUACGGGAGGCAGCAGUGGGGAAUAUUGCACAAUGGGCGAAAGCCUGAUGCAGCGACGCCGCGUGAGGGAUGACGGCCUUCGGGUUGUAAACCUCUUUCAGCAGGGAAGAAGCGAAAGUGACGGUACCUGCAGAAGAAGCACCGGCUAACUACGUGCCAGCAGCCGCGGUAAU
rnacentral:rRNA from 1 species